rnacentral:rRNA from 1 species
GACGAACCGUGCGAACGUUAUUCGGAAUCACUGGGCUUAAAGCGCGUGUAGGCGGGACGGCACGUCGGUCGCUGAAAGCCCCCGGCUCAACCGGGGAACGGGCGCCGAUACGACCGCCCUGGAGGGACGUAGGGGGACCUGGAACUUCCGGUGGAGCGGUGAAAUGCGUUGAGAUCGGAAGGAACGCCCGUGGCGAAAGCGAGGUCCUGGACGUAUCUGACGCUGAGACGCGAAAGCCAGGGGAGCGAACGGG